rnacentral:lncRNA from 1 species
GGCCUUGCAGAGCUGGUGCUUGGGAUGUACACGGGUGCCAGCAGUGCAGCAGGGAAACGAUGACUUGCCAAACUCCACGAGUCUGCUGCACUACACAAAUCUCGGUUCAGUUCCUGUGGAUAUUGAGUAAGAUACCUUACGGGAAGGAUGACUGAGGGGGAGCACAGGUGCCUCCUGACAGGCGAGCUGUGGGGAGCGCAGCACAAGGACUGCUGUCGAUGCCCCCGACGGCCUUGGAGCUGGGGGCUGACGGGCGCUGUCUGUGGGAGGCUCUUACGGCUGAUACGGCUGGGGAAUAAUUAACAGCAGGUGAGUAGGGAGGUAACAGCAAUUGGGUUUAUAAUCUGUUUUAUAUUUUUAGGAGAUAAUUUCUGGAUGCCAUAGGGAAUGUUACUUUGCUAGUCUGGGUUGCAGAAUUGAGUUAAUAUCCUCAAUUAAUAGAUUUAAUUUGAAGCUUUAAUAUUCUAAGAUAAUUGGCUACAUCCUGGUGCAAAUGAGCAAAACUACACUUAAAUGGUUAUAGAACACGUUGAUUUGAAAAUGUUUUGGGCUAUGUUUAAGGCUUUUAUUUUCGUAAUUCCCAUCACCUGCAGAAAAGUUAGGCUGGGGCCGGACUUGCAGAACUGUCCAACGCUGACUUUAAUGUUCUGUCAUUUUCGGUAGGAGUCUGCCAUUGCUUUGAGAAACAGGCGGGCUUUCCAAAACACCCAGAUGCCGCCUAACUUCCUUCUAGGAAGUGAAACAGGAGAGCCCCUCGUCUGUGCGGUGCUCCGAACUUGGCCAUGAGCAUGCGGAGAACAGGUGGGACUGUGCACAGGCUGGGCGGCUGCGGGUCAGCACGGGAGAAGACCAAAUUAACACAGAGGACACGAGCGGCACGUCCCAGAGGCCUGGCGGAGUCACCCCGAGCCGGUCGUGCCGCCGUCCCUGCCGCCGCCUCCCGCACGUGCUAUUCAAUGAGAAACGUCUUUGUGGUUUUAGUGUGGAUCCUCAGCUCCGCAGGGCACUGCCAGCCCCUCGGCACAGCAUCCUCCAACUCCUCCUCCUCCUGCUCCCCCCGGGCUGGGGCUGCUCGUUCUGCUCCGCGUUCGUGCUGGCACCUCCAGCUCCUGGGGACACAGAACCGCAGCCCAGUUGUCGCCAUACAGCAGAGGGAAUCUUUGGCAGCGUUUCAGUGCGUCAUUAUGCCAGAAAGGUGCCUUUGGAAGACAGAAAUAAAUUGGAAGCAUGGGGAUUCAUUGUGAAAUGCCUGCCAGAGGUAGGUAGCAUGGGGACAAGACACAGUCCAAUAUAUUACAGUCUUGGGUGUGAAUAGAUGAAAAAAACUCCAAGCAUAUGCUCAGCUACUCUCCAUAUGAAUAACAGUUUCUAAUUUGCUCAACACGUCUCUAAUAGCCCUGGCAGUCUCUCUUUUCAUAAUUAACAUCUUCAUUUUGUUGCUUUCUAAAGGUGCGACGUAUUCAGGCUCAGAGGAGCUCAGCCCCUCGGUGCCAGCGGUGGGCAGUGUGGGAAAGGGCGACCCUUCCUGUGCCCUGGGCCAGCCGAGCCAGCAGCAGCGCGGCUCCCCUGGGGCCCUCUGGCCCCGUGGCAUCGCCUGCAGCCUGCCGCCUGCGGUGAAAAAGCUUAGAAAAAGUGUAGAUGAAUAUAGACUGUGCCUUUUGUAUGUGUGUACUAUUGAUUGGGUAUAUUUUAGCUCCUUGUUGGCAUAGCUUAUGAAACUGCCCUAUUUCAUCACUGUAGUGACUAAAACAACCGCUAACACAAAUCAUGUUACUUGGGCUGUUAUUGUUGGAUCCUGCAAGGAGUGGAAGCACAGUGUUUUUACUCUUAGUUUCUUGUUGCUGUUAAAGUUACGGGCACCAGCCCUGUGCAGCCUUGCUUCUGGAGAACUUUAAAUCUCAGCUUUGCCUCUUAUUUUGUAUGUAAACAACACCCAGAGGUGAAUGCCACCGAAGCAUGGGAGUUUCCUGAUGCAGAUUUGUGUAUGUGAUCCAAAUCUAAUUGAAUCCAUCCUUAUUUAGUCAGGAGUAGAAACUAAGUUGCGAAGAGCCGAGAUCUGUCUCUUGUCCCUUACCUGCUGUAGGAUUUGUCUGGUUUGGCAGAACGAGGGCUGGUUGUGGAUCCGUAUGCACAGAUGCAGUAGCACCUUUGACAGCGAGCAGUCCCUGCCUGUGAGACAUUUGUCACGUACAGAUUGCCUGCACAAGGACAGCUCUGUUACAUAGCAUAUGAACACAAACACAUUUUCUGAAAGCAAUUGUAUGCAUAUCAUGUUUAUCCCCCUAAACUAAAGCGUAUAUAUUCAGAAUCAUUCCUGGGGAAUGCAUUUUAAAUCUCGUUUUCAGAAAACGAAAUGUUCCCGAGGUGUCUGUGGCCUGACGCUGGCAGCAGGCCCCGCCGGGCCACAGGGCCUGUGGCACCCGCCAGGCGCCAUUUUGCUCGCCCCCCUUUCACUGCCCUGGAGGCCAUUUAGUGUGCAAAUAUUCAGCAGUUAGGAAAGCAACUUGGAUUAAGCACUCAGUUACCCUCUUCUCCACUGGGUAGCAGAGCAACACACAAUUUGUGCCAUUUAUCUGGGCUGCAGAGCACGUGGGAAGCCAGCGGCGCGUGCGGCAGUGGUGCUGCAGCCCCAGCAGCGUGGCUCUCCCGGCGGGACGGGGCCUGGCCCCCUCGCUGGAGACCCUGGCCAGCAGGGCAGGACGAGGCGGUGAUACCUGGGGCACAGGGGGAGUGUGUUGGCCCUUCUGGGGGUGCUGCUGCCCAAGACCCAGGCUGCGGAUCUGCCUCGGCGCUGAUCGUGCCCCAGCCCUGUGCUGCCUCGCUGCAGGGAAGCUGGCUGCGUGAAUUAUCCCCAGAACACAAAAGUUAUUUCCCUCUCACAGCUUCUCCUAUCUGUGUGACCUAGGUACUGACUCAGAGCACAUGCAGAAAGCCACAGGAGUAAAAAAACAAACAAACAAAAAAACACAGCAAAACAACAAAAAACACCACAUAUCUAUUUAAAUAAUGAAAUAAUGAAAGUUGAUUACCAUUUUAAGCCCUUUAUCAUGUAGAGGCAUUUCAAGCUCAGACACCCUACUCAUCUCCAGCAGUGAGAUAACUAUAAAGGCUUUUCCUGCCUACCCUGCAGUUUGACAGUACUGGAGUUUCAGGCAAUUAAAAUCACUUCACAUGUCUCUAGUGUACCUGUUAGUCUCUGUAUUCUCAUGCCAACAUGAUUCAGACUUGAAACAGCAAAUUACCUUGUUUGGAGGAGGUGUUUUAUGGGUUCUUUUACUUAAUUGCUGCAAGGUGAAUAUUUCAGUUGGAUUAAUUUAACUAAAUGACACUUGAGUUACUAUAUUGCUUUGGGACAGAGACAAGGAAAGGCCCCUGUGCCAGUACCUGAUGCAGAUAAAACACUUUUUUUUUUUUUUUCUAUCCUUUAAAAUAAAGCUGCAGCCUUUCCUGCGAGUACUUCCUGA